UUCCAGUUUGGCAGAAACUAAUGCAAUAAAUUUAGAAUUUAUUUAUGAAGAAAUUCAAUUGGAAA
rnacentral:tRNA from 1 species